CCUACGGGGGGCAGCAGUGAGGAAUAUUGGUCAAUGGGCGCGAGCCUGAACCAGCCAAGUAGCGUGAAGGAUGACUGCCCUACGGGUUGUAAACUUCUUUUAUAAAGGAAUAAAGUGUGGCACGUGUGCCCUUUUGUAUGUACUUUAUGAAUAAGGAUCGGCUAACUCCGUGCCAGCAGCCGCGGUAAUACGGGGGAUCCGAGCGUUAUCCGGAUUUAUUGGGUUUAAAGGGAGCGUAGGUGGGUUGUUAAGUCAGUUGUGAAAGUUUGCGGCUCAACCGUCAAAUUGCAGUUGAUACUGGCAGUCUGGAGUACAGUAGAGGUAGGCGGAAUUCGUGGUGUAGCGGUGAAAUGCUUAGAUAGCACGAAGAACUCCGAUUGCGAAGGCAGCUUACUAGACUGCCACUGACACUGAUGCUCGAAAGUGUGGGUAUCAAACAGGAUUAGAUACCCCGGUAGUC
rnacentral:rRNA from 1 species